UGCGAUAAGCGUCGGUAAGGUGAUAUGAACCGUUAUAACCGGCGAUUUCCGAAUGGGGAAACCCAGUGUGAUUCGUCACACUAUCAUUAACUGAAUCCAUAGGUUAAUGAGGCGAACCGGGGGAACUGAAACAUCUAAGUACCCCGAGGAAAAGAAAUCAACCGAGAUUCCCCCAGUAGCGGCGAGCGAACGGGGAGCAGCCCAGAGCCUGAAUCAGUGUGUGUGUUAGUGGAAGCGUCUGGAAAGGCGUGCGAUACAGGGUGACAGCCCCGUACACAAAAAUGCACAUAUUGUGAGCUCGAUGAGUAGGGCGGGACACGUGGUAUCCUGUCUGAAUAUGGGGGGACCAUCCUCCAAGGCUAAAUACUCCUGACUGACCGAUAGUGAACCAGUACCGUGAGGGAAAGGCGAAAAGAACCCCGGCGAGGGGAGUGAAAAAGAACCUGAAACCGUGUACGUACAAGCAGUGGGAGCACGCUUAGGCGUGUGACUGCGUACCUUUUGUAUAAUGGGUCAGCGACUUAUAUUCUGUAGCAAGGUUAACCGAAUAGGGGAGCCGAAGGGAAACCGAGUCUUAACUGGGCGUUAAGUUGCAGGGUAUAGACCCGAAACCCGGUGAUCUAGCCAUGGGCAGGUUGAAGGUUGGGUAACACUAACUGGAGGACCGAACCGACUAAUGUUGAAAAAUUAGCGGAUGACUUGUGGCUGGGGGUGAAAGGCCAAUCAAACCGGGAGAUAGCUGGUUCUCCCCGAAAGCUAUUUAGGUAGCGCCUCGUGAAUUCAUCUCCGGGGGUAGAGCACUGUUUCGGCAAGGGGGUCAUCCCGACUUACCAACCCGAUGCAAACUGCGAAUACCGGAGAAUGUUAUCACGGGAGACACACGGCGGGUGCUAACGUCCGUCGUGAAGAGGGAAACAACCCAGACCGCCAGCUAAGGUCCCAAAGUCAUGGUUAAGUGGGAAACGAUGUGGGAAGGCCCAGACAGCCAGGAUGUUGGCUUAGAAGCAGCCAUCAUUUAAAGAAAGCGUAAUAGCUCACUGGUCGAGUCGGCCUGCGCGGAAGAUGUAACGGGGCUAAACCAUGCACCGAAGCUGCGGCAGCGACGCUUAUGCGUUGUUGGGUAGGGGAGCGUUCUGUAAGCCUGUGAAGGU
rnacentral:rRNA from 1 species